GCUGCUCCACCCCAGGCUCCACUAAGUGAGACUUGGUUUUUAAGCUCCCCUGACUCUGAGCUGCAGCUGAUUGGUUCAGAGAUGGCACCUGCACCAAGCUUGGCUAAGAACUCCCCUUUCUGGGAUUUUUGAAACAGAAACCCAGAAUGCCAAGGUUGGUCCCUCCUAGAGGCAGAUGUAAAACUCAAGACUUUUCCUACGAUGUGUCUCACCCUGGGAAAAUACUGACCUAUGCUCUGCUUGGAGGUCUCAUAUCUAGCCCCACAAGAAGUCAUCUGCUAUAGAAAAUGAACUAAACAACCAAUUGGAUAUCACAAUUCACUCCAGUUUUUCAGCCACCAUCACUACCACCACCACCCAAGGGGCUCAUGGGCUCCUGCAUAACAGAAUCUUGGAACCAGGCCUCUGGCUGGAUCAAGAAACAGCCAGCCAGAAGCUGGGACCCAUGAGGAAGAGGCUGCUGAGAGUGAGCACUGUGGGCAGAUUCAGCGGGACUGCAGGUGGCAGAUACCCUGGCUUCCCUCCUCCCUCAUCCAAUUUUCCUCUAGGACCAUGCAUCGACCAGACCUAAUUGGAAGCUGGGGGAUGUACUUUCUUAAAAUAUAAAGCAGAACAGAGGAGGGGAGAGAAAAGACAGACAAUAACCAUGGAGAAGAAAACAUGUGACCUAUUUGAGGCAAUAGAACUAAUCGGGUGUGUAUUUAGGACUUGAGUCCAGGUCUUCUCAUUUUUAUGCCCCUGUAAUGCUUCCCAGUCUCUUGAAUUGUCCAGCAAGUCUCUCAACUCUUUAUUCUAUUCAUUAUACAUAUUUUCUACAGCUUCCCCACUCUUUUCAAGGCUUCAACCUUGCCCGUAUCCUCUUUCUGCAGCUGCCCUGGUUUCCAUGUCUUCAUAUGGCCUCCAGACCAUGUGAUAAUUAUUUGACAUCCACCUGCUUACUCCUUUUCUGCACUCAAUCUUAGUGUCUUCUCCCAAGCUAAACAAGAGUGCCCCAUCCACCCCACAAUGAUCAGGGUUCAACUGGGGAAGCUGAAACUCUGUGACUGUUAUGGAAUAAAAGAUGUUCAGUUCAGUUCAGUCACUCAGUCAUGUCCGACUCUUCACGAACCCAAGGACCACAGGAUGCCAGGCGUCCCUGUACAUCACCAACUUCCAGAGUUUACACAAACUCAUCUCCACUGAGUUGGU